rnacentral:rRNA from 1 species
GGCUCAGGAUGAACGCUAGCCACAGGCUUAACACAUGCAAGUCGAGGGGAAACGAUAUUGGAAGCUUGCUUCUGAUAGGCGUCGACCGGCGCACGGGUGAGUAACGCGUAUCCAACCUGCCCAUCACUUGGGGAUAACCUUGUGAAAGUAAGACUAAUACCCAAUGACGUCUCUAGAAGACAUCUGAAAGAGAUUAAAGAUUUAUCGGUGAUGGAUGGGGAUGCGUCUGAUUAGCUUGUUGGCGGGUAACGGCCCACCAAGGCGACGAUCAGUAGGGGUUCUGAGAGGAAGGUCCCCCACAUUGGAACUGAGACACGGUCCAAACUCCUACGGGAGGCAGCAGUGAGGAAUAUUGGUCAAUGGACGAGAGUCUGAACCAGCCAAGUAGCGUGCAGGAUGACGGCCCUAUGGGUUGUAAACUGCUUUUAUAAGGGAAUAAAGUGGGAGUCGUGACUCUUUUUGCAUGUACCUUAUGAAUAAGGACCGGCUAAUUCCGUG